UCGCGCCCACGUCGUUGAUUGUGCAGGCAGUGCGCGACUGCGGCACGUAGCAUGUAGAGCCUGCGCCCGUCGACUUUGAUCUACGGGCGUGAAAUGUCGGCGGCGCGUUUGUGGUAUUAAAAGCGUGUGGUGAGCUUCCAACGGCACUACGGGUCAACGCCGCAUGAGCUGCCGGUCAGAGUAUAAGAACCUCUUCAUUGUUAGCGUACUGCUUGGCGGUAACAGGUGUCCUGCUUGGGUUCAGAUUACUGGAUACGCCGUCACUUGAACCUCGGCGGCCGGAGCAGGACUGCGGCUGCGGUCGUUUCAUUGCCAACUGUGAGGAUGAAGCAGCUUCAUGGCCGGAGAUCGGACGCCUCCCAUCAGUUUCCCUUUUCAGCAAUAGAGGCCUUGGAGGCCUUUCUACCUGCGUUGCAUCCUGUGGCUGGACCACUCCAACGAUCUCGGUAGAAUCGUUACACAGG